CUUAAGUCCACCCAGCAUAGAAACCUCACUGAUGUGAACACAGAUAGCACUGACAGAUUGACAGCUCUUUCUUAUUUCUAUGGGUGGAAAUGCAUGGCUAUUCUUAGGUGGUGGAGCAAUUUGUCUGGUUAAUUCCACUAAUGAAUGAGAUUCUGGCAUGCUAACCCCAAAUAGUCAGUGUUCCCUAACUUCCUAGAGGGACAAGUUUAUGGGGGUGUUUCAUUGCUCUGAGAAUUUACAGGAUG
rnacentral:ncRNA from 1 species